rnacentral:rRNA from 1 species
UAGGGAAUCUUCGGCAAUGGACGAAAGUCUGACCGAGCAACGCCGCGUGAGUGAAGAAGGUUUUCGGAUCGUAAAACUCUGUUGUUAGAGAAGAACAAGGACGUUAGUAACUGAACGUCCCCUGACGGUAUCUAACCAGAAAGCCACGGCUAACUACGUGCCAGCAGCCGCGGUAAUACGUAGGUGGCAAGCGUUGUCCGGAUUUAUUGGGCGUAAAGCGAGCGCAGGCGGUUUCUUAAGUCUGAUGUGAAAGCCCCCGGCUCAACCGGGGAGGGUCAUUGGAACCUGGGGGACUUGGGUGCAGAAGAGGAGAGUGGAAUUCCAUGUGUAGCGGUGAAAUGCGUGGAUAUAUGGAGGAACACCAGUGGCGAAGGCGGCUCUCUGGUCUGUAACUGACGCUGAGGCUCGAAAGCGUGGGGAGCAAACAGG